UGUAAAUUCGAGAGGGAUGAACUUUAUCAAAUCCUGGACUUUUAUAUCUAUGAUGAUUGGGACCUCAGCAUCAGGCACUCCCAGCUCCUGUGUGAACAAACUCAAUUGAAGAACUAAAUACAGAUUUUGCUGAAUGAGAAGAGAGAACAGCUGGUGGAGCAGACUGAACUGUCAGCAUCCUCUGUGGAGGCAAAGAGGCUCUGUGAAGAGGCCAGAAUGAACAUCUGUGACCCCAGAGCCAAGCAACAGCAGGGACGUUUGAGACUCCAGGAAGUAAGUCAAACCAGAAUCUUCCCGGGGGAAGACGCAUGU
ensembl:lncRNA